rnacentral:tRNA from 1 species
GGUGGCUCAGUGGGUAAGAGCACAUGUUCUAUAAGCAUGGAGACCUGAGUUCAGAUCCCAGUACCC